AUACGGAGGAUGCGAGCGUUAUCCGGAUUUAUUGGGUUUAAAGGGAGCGUAGGUGGGAUAUUAAGUCAGCUGUGAAAGUUUGGGGCUCAACCUUAAAAUUGCAGUUGAUACUGGUUUCCUUGAGUACGGUACAGGUGGGCGGAAUUCGUGGUGUAGCGGUGAAAUGCUUAGAUAUCACGAAGAACUCCGAUCGCGAAGGCAGCUCACCGGGCCGGAACUGACACUGAUGCUCGAAAGUGCGGGUACCAAACAGGAUUAGAUACCCUGGUAGUCCGCACAGUAAACGAUGAAUACUCGCUGUUUGCGAUACACGGUAAGCGGCCAAGCGAAAGCGUUAAGUAUUCCACCUGGGGAGUACGCCGGCAACGGUGAAACUUAAAGGAAUUGACGGGG
rnacentral:rRNA from 1 species